rnacentral:rRNA from 1 species
ACGCUCGACACCUACGGGAGGCAGCAGUGGGGAAUAUUGCACAAUGGGGGAAACCCUGAUGCAGCGACGCCGCGUGGAGGAAGAAGGUCUUCGGAUUGUAAACUCCUGUUGUUGGGGAAAAGGAGGAUGGUACCCAACAAGGAAGUGACGGCUAACUACGUGCCAACAGCCGCGGUAAUCUGAGCGGGCUGGCAAGGC